CGCUGGCGGCAUGCCUUACACAUGCAAGUCGAACGGUAGAGUAGCAAUACUCGAGAGUGGCGAACGGGUGAGUAAUAUAUCGGAACGUGCCCAGUCGUGGGGGAUAACGUAGAGAAAUUUACGCUAAUACCGCAUACGAUCUAAGGAUGAAAGCGGGGGAUUCGCAAGAACCUCGCGCGAUUGGAGCGGCUGAUAUCAGAUUAGGUUGUUGGUGAGGUAAAAGCUCACCAAGCCGACGAUCUGUAGCUGGUUUGAGAGAACGACCAGCCACACUGGGACUGAGACACGGCCCAGACUCCUACGGGAGGCAGCAGUGGGGAAUUUUGGACAAUGGGCGAAAGCCUGAUCCAGCAAUGCCGCGUGCAGGAAGAAGGCCUUCGGGUUGUAAACUGCUUUUGUACGGAACGAAAAGGCUCUUUCUAAUAAAGAGGGCCCAUGACGGUACCGUAAGAAUAAGCACCGGCUAACUACGUG
rnacentral:rRNA from 1 species